AGAGGACAUUGAGCUAGUUUUACCUCUCGGACCUGGCAACCCUGCUCAGACCCCGGAAGUGAGCGCUGUGUUGUGCUGCUGUGUUAGCGUUAGCUCUGAACAGAAGUGAGACACUCUUUCCCCCAAAGCUUCGCCUUAAAGCGGACAGAGCGCAGUGAAACAUGGCAGAAGUGAAGCUGAAGGAGGAGCAGGAGCUGUGGGAGCCCGCGGAGGUGGAAAACAGAAUGAUCAAAGAGGACCCAGACUGUGGAGGUGUCCAGAGUCCACAUGAAGCUGCUCCCACUCCAGUCCAGAUUAAAGAGGAACCUAAGGAGAUUCAAAUCAAAGAGGAGUCGAUCCAUGCGUUCCCAGUCAUUGUCUCUGUGAGGAGUGAGAAAGAAGAAUCUCUGCUUCAUGAAACGGUGAAAGAGGAGAACAGAGAGGACAGAGACGAAGCAGAUAAUUCCUCUGACACUGACGACUCUGCAGACUGGACUCCUUCAGCUGAAAGUCCCACUCCACAAACACACACCGAACAGCUGCAGGAGUCGGCUCAUGGGAACAAUAUUGACACUGGGAAUGACCAAAGGCAGGAUAUGGCACAAGAAAAAAACAAUCCAGGGUUGGACGGUGCUACCAGUGUUGAACAGUGUGUAAAACAUCGCCUGACUUUCACCACCAUAUCAACUUUGGAUAAGUGCCUCAAAUGCGUUGGACCAGUAUCUUCCAUGAAAUGGCUUGGCUAUAAAUGCAAGGGUAUGAUUGAAAUACGCAUUUUAACAAAACAUCUUCUUUUGAUCAACAACUAUGUGCUUUGAUUUAUUGUAUUGUUUCUAUUUUUUUAGAUUGCUCAGGAAUCUGGCACAAGUCUUGCUUUGUUUGCAUACAUCAGGUAUUAAUUUUUACGUUUAACUAAAUAUAGAGCUUAGUAAUUAGUCAGAAAUUGACUGUUUUGUUUGUUGCUCAUCUCUAGAAAUCACCUUCUAUUUCUGGUGGGGAUCACAUUACACAAAGUGCAGAAGAGGACCAAUUUGAUAAGGAUUAUGUACCAGACUCUGAAUCACCAGACGAUGUGGGUGAUGAAGAUUUAGAUGAGCUCCCCAAUCCAAAUAUAUGGCUGACACAAAACUCGGAUACAAGUCUUGCUCCUGCUUCUAGUGCAUCAGAAACCAGCCAGCCAGUUAGUUCUUCAGAAACAGCCAGCCAGUUAGUUCUUCAUACACCUCAGAGUUGCAUUCAGAGAAUGGUCCACAAAGAGGAGAUUCACAGAUGACAAGGUCCAUAAAUUACUGCUUUAUCUGUGGUAAGGCACAAAUGAAAAUAUCG
rnacentral:lncRNA from 1 species